GAUCAUGGCUCAGGAUGAACGCUGGCGGCGUGCCUAAUACAUGCAAGUCGAACGCUUGCUUGAGGAUUUGUCUUCAAGCGGGAGUGGCGAACGGGUGAGAAAUACAUAAGCAAUCUGCCCAUCGGCCUGGGAUAACAGUUGGAAACGACUGCUAAUACCGGAUAGGUGAUGAAGAGGCAUCUCUUGAUCAUUAAAGUUGGGAUACAACACGGAUGGAUGAGCUUA
rnacentral:rRNA from 1 species